UGGGGAGGAGUUCGGAAUUGGGGGAAAUUGCCUUUAAUAAAUAUGAAGAACAAAGUAUACACUAUAUUAAAUUUAUAUUAAAAAUAUUUAUUAAGAUAUUUUUCUAAUUAUUUUUAAUUAAGUGUAGUUAUUCUUAUUUGUUACUUAUGUAACUUUAUAUAGUGAUUUAACUCUUUUGUUGAGAUUUAUUAAUAUCGAUUAACCCUUCUGAGUAACAUCUCA
rnacentral:rRNA from 1 species